CUACGGGUUGCAGCAGUGAGGAAUUUUGCGCAAUGGGGGAAACCCUGACGCAGCAACGCCGCGUGAGCGAAGAAGGCCCUCGGGUCGUAAAGCUCUGUCAAGUGGGAAAAAAAUCUUUUGAUCAAUAGUCAAAAGACUUGAUGGUACCACUGGAGGAAGCACCGGCUAACUCCGUGCCAGCAGCCGCGGUAAUACGGAGGGUGCAAGCGUUGUUCGGAUUUACUGGGCGUAAAGGGCGUGUAGGCGGUUUAGCAAGUCAGAUGUGAAGGCCCUGGGCUCAACCCGGGAAGCGCAUUUGAAACUGCUUCACUAGAGUAUGGGAGAGGAGAUUGGAAUUCCUGGUGUAGAGGUGAAAUUCGUAGAUAUCAGGAGGAACACCCGUGGCGAAGGCGAUUCUCUGGACCAAUACUGACGCUGAGACGCGAAAGCGUGGGGAGCAAACAGGAUUAGAUACCCUCGUAGUC
rnacentral:rRNA from 1 species